GUCCACGUGGUGGAAUUGGUAGACACGCCACUUUGAGGGGGUGGUGCUGCGAGGCGUGCAAGUUCAAGUCUUGUCGUGGACA
rnacentral:tRNA from 1 species